UAUAACAUGAUAUUAAUCCAGAGCUGCUUAUUCUCGCAUAACAGCUACAGCACUCGAUCAGAAAAACACCAUGUGCUAUUCUACAUCGGUUGCGUAGAAUAUUGCCAAAAUUCAUUUAAAAUUCUGAAAAUUGGUUUUGAGUUGAAUUCAAUUUCCAGGAGGAGCAAAUUCAGAUCCUUAAAAGGAGAGAACCGACGCAGAAAGGAUUAACUUACCAGGAGAUCAAACAAAUGGAGUAUCUGGCUAAGGCGAUCGAUGAGAUGCUCCGCAGAGUUAAUAUUGGAUUCUCGUUGUUUCGAGAGGCGAGAGAAGACACCACAAUCAAUGGAUAUCUCAUACCAAAAGGGUGGAAUGUCCUAAUUUGCCUCAGAGGUGUUCAUAUGGAUCCAACAAACUACUCGGAACCAGAAGAGUUCAAUCCUUCAAGAUGGGAUAAUUAUAGAAAGAAGGGAGGUG